rnacentral:rRNA from 1 species
GACAGAGGGUGCAAACGUUGUUCGGAAUUACUGGGCGUAAAGCGAGUGUAGGCGGUGUGGUAAGUCGGAUGUGAAAGCCCCGGGCUCAACCCUGAGCCUGCAGUCGAUACGGGCAGACUAGAGUCCGGCAGGGGAGACUGGAAUUCCUGGUGUAGCGGUGAAAUGCGCAGAUAUCAGGAGGAACACCGGUGGCGAAGGCGGGUCUCUGGGCCGGAACUGACGCUGAGGAGCGAAAGCGUGGGGAGCGAACAGG